rnacentral:rRNA from 1 species
UACGGGGGGUGCAAGCGUUGUUCGGAUUUACUGGGCGUAAAGGGCGCGUAGGCGGUCGUGACAGGUCACUUGUGAAAUCUCCGAGCUUAACUCGGAAACUGCCGUUGAUACUAUCUGUCUUGAAUAUCAUGGAGGUAAGCAGAAUAUGUCAUGUAGCGGUGAAAUGCUUAGAUAUGACAUAGAAUACCGAUAGCGAAGGCAGCUUACUACAUGUUAAUUGACGCUGAGGCACGAAAGCGUGGGGAGCAAACAGG